UAAAUAAACAUUUCCCACAGCUUGACCACACUGGUGUAUUAAUAGAUCCUGAAAGGCAAGAUGUGAAUAACAAUAUAUGCUGCUGAGGCUGGAGCUAGAAAAAGAAGGCCAAGUCCCUAUACUUAAGUGUCUUGUCUUUCUUUAACUCCAAGAAUUUUUAGAAUGUAAAUUACUAAGGAAAAAAUGGGCAGCAAUAACAACAACAAUGUGCUAUUAAGGUUACAACAAGCAGAGUCAACAUCUGGAUUAGAAGCUACUGAUGCUAUAAGCUGCAAAAACAAUAGUGAGGUCACAUCCUUAGAAGACACACAAGAUACGGCCAUAGAGGAUGGAGGCAAAAUGGAGUUAAACAAGGCAAGCUACCAGAAGCUGGAAAAGACAAAAGAAUGCUUCUUCUUGUGGCACUGGGAAAGAUCUGUUGUCCUGCAAGCACCAUGAUGUGAGAAUAAAAACUUUCUAAAUUUUAUGUUA